rnacentral:rRNA from 1 species
AUGAACGCUGGCGGCGUGCCUAAUACAUGCAAGUCGAGCGAACAGACGAGGAGCUUGCUCCUUCGACGUUAGCGGCGGACGGGUGAGUAACACGUAGGUAACCUACCUAUAAGACUGGGAUAACUUCGGGAAACCGGAGCUAAUACCGGAUAAUAUUUCGAACCGCAUGGUUCGAUAGUGAAAGAUGGCUUUGCUAUCACUUAUAGAUGGACCUGCGCCGUAUUAGCUAGUUGGUAAGGUAACGGCUUACCAAGGCAACGAUACGUAGCCGACCUGAGAGGGUGAUCGGCCACACUGGAACUGAGACACGGUCCAGACUCCUACGGGAGGCAGCAGUAGGGAAUCUUCCGCAAUGGGCGAAAGCCUGACGGAGCAACGCCGCGUGAGUGAUGAAGGUCUUCGGAUCGUAAAACUCUGUUAUUAGGGAAGAACAAACGUGUAAGUAACUGUGCACGUCUUGGCGGUACCUAAUCAGAAAGCCACGGCUAACUACGUG